GCCGGGAUAGCUCAGUUGGUAGAGCAGAAGACUGAAAAUCCUCGUGUCACCAGUUCAA
rnacentral:tRNA from 9 species